rnacentral:rRNA from 1 species
GACGAUGGAAGUAGAGGAAAGUGGCGGACGGGUGAGUAACGCGUGAGGAACCUGCCUCGAAGAGGGGGACAACAGUUGGAAACGACUGCUAAUACCGCAUGAAGCAUAGGGGUCGCAUGAUUCUUAUGCCAAAGAUUUAUCGCUUCAAGAUGGCCUCGCGUCUGAUUAGCUAGUUGGCGGGGUAACGGCCCACCAAGGCGACGAUCAGUAGCCGGACUGAGAGGUUGAACGGCCACAUUGGGACUGAGAUACGGCCCAGACUCCUACGGGAGGCAGCAGUGGGGAAUAUUGGGCAAUGGGCGCAAGCCUGACCCAGCAACGCCGCGUGAAGGAAGAAGGCUUUCGGGUUGUAAACUUCUUUUAAGAGGGAAGAGCAGAAGACGGUACCUCUAGAAUAAGCCACGGCUAACUACGUGCCAGCAGCCGCGGUAAUACGUAGGUGGCAAGCGUUGUCCGGAUUUACUGGGUGUAAAGGGCGUGCAGCCGGGUCUGCAAGUCAGAUGUGAAAUCCAUGGGCUCAACCCAUGAACUGCAUUUGAAACUGUAGAUCUUGAGUGUCGGAGGGGCAAUCGGAAUUCCUAGUGUAGCGGUGAAAUGCGUAGAUAUUAGGAGGAACACCAGUGGCGAAGGCGGAUUGCUGGACGAUAACUGACGGUGAGGCGCGAAAGUGUGGGGAGCAAACAGGAUUAGAUACCCUGGUAGUCC